rnacentral:rRNA from 1 species
GAUGAACGCUGGCGGCGUGCCUAAUACAUGCAAGUCGAGCGAACGGACGAGAAGCUUGCUUCUCUGAUGUUAGCGGCGGACGGGUGAGUAACACGUGGAUAACCUACCUAUAAGACUGGGAUAAUUUCGGGAAACCGGAGCUAAUACCGGAUGAUAUUUUGAACCGCAUGGUUCAAAAGUGAAAGACGGUCUUGCUGUCACUUAUAGAUGGAUCCGCGCUGCAUUAGCUAGUUGGUAAGGUAACGGCUUACCAAGGCAACGAUGCAUAGCCGACCUGAGAGGGGGAUCGGCCACACUGGAGCUGAGACGCGGUCCUGGCUCCUACGGGAGGCAGCAGUAGGGAAUCUUCCGCAAUGGGCGAAAACCUGACGGAGCAACGCCGCGUGAGUGAUGAAGGUCUUCGGAUCGUAAAACUCUGUUAUUAGGGAAGAACAUAUGUGUAAGUAACUGUGCACAUCUUGACGGUACCUAAUCAGAAAGCCACGGCUAACUACGUG